rnacentral:rRNA from 1 species
AUUGAACGCUGGCGGCAUGCUUUACACAUGCAAGUCGAACGGUAACAGGCCUUCGGGCGCUGACGAGUGGCGAACGGGUGAGUAAUGCAUCGGAGCGUGCCCAGUCGUGGGGGAUAACGCAGCGAAAGCUGUGCUAAUACCGCAUACGAUCUAUGGAUGAAAGCGGGGGACCGUAAGGCCUCGCGCGAUUGGAGCGGCCGAUGUCAGAUUAGGUAGUUGGUGGGGUAAAGGCUCACCAAGCCAACGAUCUGUAGCUGGUCUGAGAGGACGACCAGCCACACUGGAACUGAGACACGGUCCAGACUCCUACGGGAGGCAGCAGUGGGGAAUUUUGGACAAUGGGCGCGAGCCUGAUCCAGCAAUGCCGCGUGCAGGAAGAAGGCCUUCGGGUUGUAAACUGCUUUUGUACGGAACGAAACGGCGAGCUCUAAUACAGUUUGCUAAUGACGGUACCGUAAGAAUAAGCACCGGCUAACUACGUGCCAGCCGCCGCAGUAAGAC